GAGCUUCACAACCCCUUUCCCUUGGAUCUGAGAUUGAGACUGACAGCCAAGAAUAAAAAGGAGCUAACCUGACUGAUAUUCUGAGUUUAACUGAUAUUCUGAGUUGGCCAGUUGCAUGUUUUCUCGCUAUAUUUCAGGAUGAAACUGAACUUGAUGGCUUCACUCUCUGUGUCAAGGCAGAGUUCAUUAAUGAAGAAGUUAAAAUCAGACCCAACCUUCGACUUGCUCUUACAUACCGAAAGUAAUGAAAAAUUACAAGUUUCUCUGGAGUAACCCAAAUGUACUAAUUCCUAUAGUAAUUGAUAUCAUGCUUGCAAUAGCUCAUAAUUAGUUGGAAUACCAACUGUUCUGAAAUACGAUGGAGAACUCCAUAGUAAUAUUAACCCAAUGCUUAGCUUAUAUUUAAAACUAGUUUUUAUUCCCAAAGCAACUGAUUAAACAAAACCCCUCAACAACCCUGCAAUCAAUGGGAUUUUCACCUUCAAGUUGUCAGUGAUUUUAAGAAACAAAGAAAACAUAAAUAUGCAGUAGUUACCCAGUAAUUCUUAGACCUUUGCAUUUUUAGAUGUCUGUCAACUGCUUUUAUUACAUCAACCAAACAUUGUAUUCAGGAUUAUAAAACUCUUUGUUUUAUCCUAUUUAUCUGUCUCUCAAUACAUAUCCCUGGACAAUGUCAUGCACAGAAGCUUUACGCAAUAACAAAUUGUUGAUCUGUGGAGAAUAUUAUGUUUUCCCCUUUUCAUGUUUAAGACACACAUUAUUAAU